rnacentral:rRNA from 1 species
UUAAGCGACUAAGCGUACACGGUGGAUGCCCUGGCAGUCAGAGGCGAUGAAGGACGUGCUAAUCUGCGAUAAGCGUCGGUAAGGUGAUAUGAACCGUUAUAACCGGCGAUUUCCGAAUGGGGAAACCCAGUGUGUUUCGACACACUAUCAUUAACUGAAUCCAUAGGUUAAUGAGGCGAACCGGGGGAACUGAAACAUCUAAGUACCCCGAGGAAAAGAAAUCAACCGAGAUUCCCCCAGUAGCGGCGAGCGAACGGGGAGCAGCCCAGAGCCUGAAUCAGUGUGUGUGUUAGUGGAAGCGUCUGGAAAGGCGCGCGAUACAGGGUGACAGCCCCGUACACAAAAAUGCACAUAUUGUGAGCUCGAUGAGUAGGGCGGGACACGUGGUAUCCUGUCUGAAUAUGGGGGGACCAUCCUCCAAGGCUAAAUACUCCUGACUGACCGAUAGUGAACCAGUACCGUGAGGGAAAGGCGAAAAGAACCCCGGCGAGGGGAGUGAAAAAGAACCUGAAACCGUGUACGUACAAGCAGUGGGAGCACGCUUCGGCGUGUGACUGCGUACCUUUUGUAUAAUGGGUCAGCGACUUAUAUUCUGUAGCAAGGUUAACCGAAUAGGGGAGCCGAAGGGAAACCGAGUCUUAACUGGGCGUUAAGUUGCAGGGUAUAGACCCGAAACCCGGUGAUCUAGCCAUGGGCAGGUUGAAGGUUGGGUAACACUAACUGGAGGACCGAACCGACUAAUGUUGAAAAAUUAGCGGAUGACUUGUGGCUGGGGGUGAAAGGCCAAUCAAACCGGGAGAUAGCUGGUUCUCCCCGAAAGCUAUUUAGGUAGCGCCUCGUGAAUUCAUCUCCGGGGGUAGAGCACUGUUUCGGCAAGGGGGUCAUCCCGACUUACCAACCCGAUGCAAACUGCGAAUACCGGAGAAUGUUAUCACGGGAGACACACGGCGGGUGCUAACGUCCGUCGUGAAGAGGGAAACAACCCAGACCGCCAGCUAAGGUCCCAAAGUCAUGGUUAAGUGGGAAACGAUGUGGGAAGGCCCAGACAGCCAGGAUGUUGGCUUAGAAGCAGCCAUCAUUUAAAGAAAGCGUAAUAGCUCACUGGUCGAGUCGGCCUGCGCGGAAGAUGUAACGGGGCUAAACCAUGCACCGAAGCUGCGGCAGCGACACUAUGUGUUGUUGGGUAGGGGAGCGUUCUGUAAGCCUGUGAAGGUGUACUGUGAGGUAUGCUGGAGGUAUCAGAAGUGCGAAUGCUGACAUAAGUAACGAUAAAGCGGGUGAAAAGCCCGCUCGCCGGAAGACCAAGGGUUCCUGUCCAACGUUAAUCGGGGCAGGGUGAGUCGACCCCUAAGGCGAGGCCGAAAGGCGUAGUCGAUGGGAAACAGGUUAAUAUUCCUGUACUUGGUGUUACUGCGAAGGGGGGACGGAGAAGGCUAUGUUGGCCGGGCGACGGUUGUCCCGGUUUAAGCGUGUAGGCUGGUUUUCCAGGCAAAUCCGGAAAAUCAAGGCUGAGGCGUGAUGACGAGGCACUACGGUGCUGAAGCAACAAAUGCCCUGCUUCCAGGAAAAGCCUCUAAGCAUCAGGUAACAUCAAAUCGUACCCCAAACCGACACAGGUGGUCAGGUAGAGAAUACCAAGGCGCUUGAGAGAACUCGGGUGAAGGAACUAGGCAAAAUGGUGCCGUAACUUCGGGAGAAGGCACGCUGAUAUGUAGGUGAAGCGACUUGCUCGUGGAGCUGAAAUCAGUCGAAGAUACCAGCUGGCUGCAACUGUUUAUUAAAAACACAGCACUGUGCAAACACGAAAGUGGACGUAUACGGUGUGACGCCUGCCCGGUGCCGGAAGGUUAAUUGAUGGGGUUAGCGCAAGCGAAGCUCUUGAUCGAAGCCCCGGUAAACGGCGGCCGUAACUAUAACGGUCCUAAGGUAGCGAAAUUCCUUGUCGGGUAAGUUCCGACCUGCACGAAUGGCGUAAUGAUGGCCAGGCUGUCUCCACCCGAGACUCAGUGAAAUUGAACUCGCUGUGAAGAUGCAGUGUACCCGCGGCAAGACGGAAAGACCCCGUGAACCUUUACUAUAGCUUGACACUGAACAUUGAGCCUUGAUGUGUAGGAUAGGUGGGAGGCUUUGAAGUGUGGACGCCAGUCUGCAUGGAGCCGACCUUGAAAUACCACCCUUUAAUGUUUGAUGUUCUAACGUUGACCCGUGAUCCGGGUUGCGGACAGUGUCUGGUGGGUAGUUUGACUGGGGCGGUCUCCUCCUAAAGAGUAACGGAGGAGCACGAAGGUUGGCUAAUCCUGGUCGGACAUCAGGAGGUUAGUGCAAUGGCAUAAGCCAGCUUGACUGCGAGCGUGACGGCGCGAGCAGGUGCGAAAGCAGGUCAUAGUGAUCCGGUGGUUCUGAAUGGAAGGGCCAUCGCUCAACGGAUAAAAGGUACUCCGGGGAUAACAGGCUGAUACCGCCCAAGAGUUCAUAUCGACGGCGGUGUUUGGCACCUCGAUGUCGGCUCAUCACAUCCUGGGGCUGAAGUAGGUCCCAAGGGUAUGGCUGUUCGCCAUUUAAAGUGGUACGCGAGCUGGGUUUAGAACGUCGUGAGACAGUUCGGUCCCUAUCUGCCGUGGGCGCUGGAGAACUGAGGGGGGCUGCUCCUAGUACGAGAGGACCGGAGUGGACGCAUCACUGGUGUUCGGGUUGUCAUGCCAAUGGCACUGCCCGGUAGCUAAAUGCGGAAGAGAUAAGUGCUGAAAGCAUCUAAGCACGAAACUUGCCCCGAGAUGAGUUCUCCCUGACUCCUUGAGAGUCCUGAAGGAACGUUGAAGACGACGACGUUGAUAGGCCGGGUGUGUAAGCGCAGCGAUGCGUUGAGCUAACCGGUACUAAUGAACCGUGAGGCUUAACCUU